AUAAUUUAUGAACUAUAAGAAUGACUUGAAAUGGAAAGAAAUAGAGAAUAAAUGUUAAAUAAGGCCGAAAUUAUAUGUGAUUACACUUUCCUAAAUUAGAUUAUGUAAUUAGGGACUUGAUUUAUGUAACGGCUUGAUUUUAGGGAUGCCUUAGAAUCAAAGUCUAUAUAUAUCCUUGUACCUAAGUUUUUAAAUGAAUAAUAAAAAAAAUGGUACAGUUACUACAUAUAUUGUAACAUGGUAUCAGAGACAAGUUGAACCUGUGCAAAUCUAAAAAAAAAAAAAAAAAAAAUCGACGUCGCCUGCGUCGCCGCCGUCCUCUGACUACUCCGGUCGCUACUGCUCACCAUUGCUUGCCGCUCAGAUCUAUUCAUUGGCUGAUCAAACCGCUUUCGUCGCCGAGAACAAGACCAACCUCAGAUCUAGAUCUGAAACCAAACUUAGAUCUGCCCAGCCAUUUGAAGUCACCGUCAACCUCAUCCUUUUGCCCCUGCUGCUGUCACCAAUCCAACACCGCUCCAUCAACCAUAGCAGUGAUUUUUUCCUCUCAGGUAGCUUCCAAACCUUAAGAAUGCACGAGGUUGAUUCUUCUUCGUAAAGAGAAGAGUUCAAUCAUGUAGAAAUUUGAAGUAUAAUAAAAGAAGAGAGACAAAGAUAUACGUGGUUCGGCCUAUAGCCUACAUCCACGGAGAAGGUAACGACUCUUAUUCUCAUAUCAUGCAUAUGCAAGGUUCACCCUUUAUUUAUACAAAUCAUAGAGAUCUCAAACUAAGGAAAUAAUUUUAAAUAAAAGGAAGUGUAUAUUAGAAAUCAAUCAGUGGUGCCAAAUAGGAAGUGAAUAUCAAUCCUAUUUGGCAACUUAUUUCCAUCACUCCCCCUCAAGUUGGUGCGUAAAUGUCAAUGGAGCCCAACUUGGACAAAAUUUAGUGAAAACGACAUUUAUUCACAGCUUUCGUAAAGAUAUCGGCUAGUUGAUCUUCGCUCCGAACAUAUGGAGUGCUAAUGAUCUUGGACUGUACCAUCUCACGGACAAAAUGGCAAUCAACUUCAAUGUGUUUCGUUCUUUCAUGAAAUACUGGAUUGGAUGCAAUGUGAAUAGCUGCUUGAUUAUCACAGAACAUAGUCAUCGGCUCUUUUGUUUUAAAGCUCAUGUCUUGAAGCAGUGCCUUCAACCACACUAACUCACUUGAAGUGGAUGCCAUAGAUCUAUAUUCAGCCUCAGCACUUGAUCUUGCAACUACAUUCUGUUUUUUACUCUUCCAAGUUACCAAAUUACCUCCUACUAGAGUACAGUAUCCUGUUGUAGACCUUCUAUCAGUCGGAUUUCCAGCCCAGUCAGCAUCAAUAAACCCACUUAUUUCUAUGUGACCUGCCUUUUUCAUCCAAAUUCCUCUACCUGGUGAUGUUUUAAGGUACCUGAGAAUCCUAUCAACAGCUUGCAUAUGACUAGUUAAUGGAUUAUGCAUAUAUUGACUUACCAAGCUAACAGCAUAUGUUAUAUCAGGUCUGGUGAUUGUCAAAUAAAUCAAUUUUCCUGCCAAUUGCUGAAAACGAGUUACAUCUUUGAGGGGUUUUCCUUCCACAAAAUCAAAUUUAUAGUUGCAACCAAUAGGGGUAUCAACUGGUUUCACUGCAAGUUUCCCUGUUUCCUUGAGUAAGUCCAAAGUAUAUUUUCUUUGGCAAAUAAAUAAACUUUUAUUUGAAUAGGCAAUUUCAAUUCCAAGAAAAUAUUUGAGUUUUCCAAGAUCCUUGAUAUCAAAUGUCAUUUUAAGAUAACUUUUGAGUUUUGAAAUCCCUUCGAAGUUGCUACCCAUAAAAACAAUAUCAUCAACAUAAAUCAAAACAAUUAUGAUACUGGUGUUAUCCGUCUUAACAAACAUAGAGGAAUCAGCAACACUUCGUUUAAAGCCGACUUGAGUAAGAGCUGAACUAAGUUUUGCAUACCAUGCGCGUGGGGAUUGUUUGAGACCAUAUAUAGCUUUAUUCAAUUUACAAACAAGAUUUUUUUGGUGUUGACUUUCAUGACCUGGAGGAAGAUCCAUAUAAACUUGUUCCUCAAGAUUUCCAUGCAAGAAGGCAUUCUUAACGUCCAUUUGAAAAAGCGGCCAGUCGUGAUUCACGGCAACAGAAAGAAGAACUCGAACAGUGCUCAUUUUGGCUACUGGAGCACAGGUUUCUUUGUAAUCAACUCCAUAAGUUUGAGUAACUCGACCAAGUCCCAAGUAUGGUUUUUCUUCAGUGCACGAAGUUCUUCUUUCAUUGCUUUUUUCCACACUGGUUGGGAGUUAGCAUCUUGAAAACUAGUUGGUUCCAUAUUAUUAGAAAUGGAACUAAGAAAGGCUGAACAACUGGAAGAAAUUUUGUCAUAAAGAAUGUGAUUUUGUAGAGGAUAGGAAGAAGCAUGAUAGGUAUAAAAACCUUGCAAUCUAGAUGAAGGGCGAGGAAUUUGAGAUGACCUAUGAACAUUGGAGAUCUGUUGGACUUGUUCAGACUGAGUGGCAAUGUCAGUAGGGCCUUUGUCAUCAUCUUCGACAUUAUUCUGGCCUUCGACGCCUUGAACUUCAUGUUGUUUCUCAUUGCUGAUUUGUACUUCACUAAUUCUUGUAUUUGAUCCAUCAUAAGGUAAUGGUGUGAUCCCGGCUUCUUUGUAA